UACGUAGGGGGCAAGCGUUGUCCGGAUUCAUUGGGCGUAAAGAGCGUGUAGGCGGCCAGGUAGGUCGGUUGUGAAAACUGGAGGCUCAACCUUCAGAGGUCGACCGAAACCAUCUGGCUAGAGUCCGGGAGAGGAGAGUGGAAUUCCUGGUGUAGCGGUGAAAUGCGCAGAUAUCAGGAGGAACACCGGUGGCGAAGGCGGUUCUCUGGGCCUUACCUGACGCUGGAGGAGCGAAAGCGUGGGGAGCGAACAGG
rnacentral:rRNA from 1 species